rnacentral:rRNA from 1 species
AUUGAACGCUGGCGGCAGGCCUAACACAUGCAAGUCGAACGGUAACAGGGAUCAGCUUGCUGAUUCGCUGACGAGUGGCGGACGGGUGAGUAAUGUCUGGGAAACUGCCUGAUGGAGGGGGAUAACUACUGGAAACGGUAGCUAAUACCGCAUAACGUCGCAAGACCAAAGAGGGGGACCUCCGGGCCUCUUGCCAUCGGAUGUGCCCAGAUGGGAUUAGCUAGUAGGUGGGGUAACGGCUCACCUAGGCGACGAUCCCUAGCUGGUCUGAGAGGAUGACCAGCCACACUGGAACUGAGACACGGUCCAGACUCCUACGGGAGGCAGCAGUGGGGAAUAUUGCACAAUGGGCGCAAGCCUGAUGCAGCCAUGCCGCGUGUAUGAAGAAGGCCUUCGGGUUGUAAAGUACUUUCAGCGGGGAGGAAGGGAGUAAAGUUAAUACCUUUGCUCAUUGACGUUACCCGCAGAAGAAGCACCGGCUAACUCCGUG